AGAGUUUGAUCAUGGCUCAGAACGAACGCUGGCGGCGUGCUUAACACAUGCAAGUCGUACGAGAAACACGUCCUUCGGGACGUGGAGUAAAGUGGCGCACGGGUGAGUAACACGUGGGUAACCUGCCCCGCGGACCGGGAUAACUGGCCGAAAGGCCCGCUAAUACCGGAUAAGACCACAUGAGCUUCGGCUCAAGAGGUCAAAGUCGGCCUCUCGAUGAAGCCGGCGCCACAGGAUGGGCCCGCGGACCAUUAGCUAGUUGGUAGGGUAAUGGCCUACCAAGGCCGAGAUGGUUAGCUGGUCUGAGAGGAUGACCAGCCACACUGGAACUGAGACACGGUCCAGACUCCUACGGGAGGCAGCAGUGAGGAAUAUUGCGCAAUGGGGGCAACCCUGACGCAGCAACGCCGCGUGAGUGAAGAAGGCCUUCGGGUUGUAAAGCUCUGUCGGGUGGGAAGAAACUUCCCCAGGUGAAUAGCCUGGAGAACUGACGGUACCACCGAAGGAAGCACCGGCUAACUCCGUGCCAGCAGCCGCGGUAAGACGGAGGGUGCAAGCGUUGUUCGGAAUCACUGGGCGUAAAGCGCGUGUAGGCGGUCUGAUCAGUCGAGUGUGAAAGCCCGAGGCUCAACUUCGGAAGUGCACUCGAAACUGUCAGGCUUGAGUACGGGAGAGGGAAGUGGAAUUCCUGGUGUAGAGGUGAAAUUCGUAGAUAUCAGGAGGAACACCGGUGGCGAAGGCGGCUUCCUGGACCGAUACUGACGCUGAGACGCGAAAGCGUGGGGAGCAAACAGGAUUAGAUACCCUAGUAGUCC
rnacentral:rRNA from 1 species